GCAACUCGCCUACAUGAAGUCGGAAUCGCUAGUAAUCGCGGAUCAGCACGCCGCGGUGAAUACGUUCCCGGGCCUUGUACACACCGCCCGUCACACCACGAGAGUUUGUAACACCCGAAGUCGGUAAGGUAACCUAUUAGGAGCCAGCCGCCUAAGGUGGGAUAGAUGAUUGGGGUGAAGUCGUAACAAGGUAGC
rnacentral:rRNA from 1 species